AUUCGGAAUAUGCGAUGCUGCCCUAAAAUUAAAAAGAAAUUGAAAGACGAAAUGUAUAUGAAUGAAAGUGAGAAAACUAAGAGUGUCUCUUCAUUUGAGGAAAAUUUCACAGGAUCUUCUUUCAAUUUACAAUUGAUUGGAACGAAUCGUGCAGAUGAAAGUAAAAGAAGAGGGUCACCUAAGACAGGAAUUUUAAUAUAAUCGAUCACGUAUUUUGGAAAAAAAAGUAUCGUCAAUUAAAGAAUAUACAACAGUCUGUCCCUUAAGAAGGAAAUCAAGGAUGUCAUCAAUUGUGGUGUAAAAUUGGAAACAAGAAGCAGCAGGACCUCAAACUGUCAAUUGUCAUGUCGAAAUUUAAAUUAAAAGUGGGGUGUAAAAUUGGAAACAAGAAGUAGGAGAACCUCAAACUGUUAAUUGUCGAAAUUUAAUAAGAAGCGGGGUAUUGUGAAUCUGCGUCUUGGAGUGAAAGUUCUGGUGGCAUUGUGAAUGAAUUACACCUCCGGAAUGGUUGAUUGAAGUUACAAAUUGAUGAAUGCUGUUUCAAAGAACCCUUUUGUAUUUGCUCCU